GCCAGACUCCUACGGGAGGCAGCAGUGGGGAAUAUUGCACAAUGGGGGAAACCCUGAUGCAGCAACGCCGCGUGAGUGAAGAAGUCUUUCGGUAUGUAAAGCUCUCUCAGCAGGGAAGAAAGAAAUGACGGUACCUGACUAAGAAGCCCCGGCUAACUACGUGCCAGCAGCCGCGGUAAUACGUAGGGGGCAAGCGUUAUCCGGAUUUACUGGGUGUAAAGGGAGCGUAGACGGCGAUGCAAGUCUGAAGUGAAAGGCGGGGGCCCAACCCCCGGACUGCUUUGGAAACUGUAUGGCUGGAGUGCAGGAGAGGUAAGUGGAAUUCCUAGUGUAGCGGUGAAAUGCGUAGAUAUUAGGAGGAACACCAGUGGCGAAGGCGGCUUACUGGACUGUAACUGACGUUGAGGCUCGAAAGCGUGGGGAGCGAACAGGAUUAGAUACCCCGGUAAAC
rnacentral:rRNA from 1 species